ACGGGUGCGUAACGCGUGGGAAUCUGCCCUUGGGUUCGGAAUAACAGUUGGAAACGACUGCUAAUACCGGAUGAUGACGUAAGUCCAAAGAUUUAUCGCCCAGGGAUGAGCCCGCGUAGGAUUAGCUAGUUGGUGAGGUAAAGGCUCACCAAGGCGACGAUCCUUAGCUGGUCUGAGAGGAUGAUCAGCCACACUGGGACUGAGACACGGCCCAGACUCCUACGGGAGGCAGCAGUAGGGAAUAUUGGACAAUGGGCGAAAGCCUGAUCCAGCAAUGCCGCGUGAGUGAUGAAGGCCUUAGGGUUGUAAAGCUCUUUUACCCGAGAUGAUAAUGACAGUAUCGGGAGAAUAAGCCCCGGCUAACUCCGUGCCAGCAGCCGCGGUAAUACGGAGGGGGCUAGCGUUGUUCGGAAUUACUGGGCGUAAAGCGCACGUAGGCGGUUAUUCAAGUCAGGGGUGAAAGCCCAGUGCUCAACACUGGAACUGCCCUUGAAACUAGAUAACUUGAAUCCAGGAGAGGUGAGUGGAAUUCCGAGU
rnacentral:rRNA from 1 species